GGGGGAUUCGAGUUCACUCCCAACCCAAUGUGAACGUUACCAAACUGUUGCCUCGGCGGGAUCUCUGCCCCGGGUGCGUCGCAGCCCCGGACCAAGGCGCCCGCCGGAGGACCAACCAAAACUCUUAUUGUAUACCCCCUCGCGGGUUUUUUUUAUAAUCUGAGCCUUCUCGGCGCCUCUCGUAGGCGUUUCGAAAAUGAAUCAAAACUUUCAACAACGGAUCUCUUGGUUCUGGCAUCGAUGAAGAACGCAGCGAAAUGCGAUAAGUAAUGUGAAUUGCAGAAUUCAGUGAAUCAUCGAAUCUUUGAACGCACAUUGCGCCCGCCAGUAUUCUGGCGGGCAUGCCUGUCCGAGCGUCAUUUCAACCCUCGAACCCCUCCGGGGGGUCGGCGUUGGGGAUCGGCCCUGCCUUGGCGGUGGCCGUCUCCGAAAUACAGUGGCGGUCUCGCCGCAGCCUCUCCUGCGCAGUAGUUUGCACACUCGCAUCGGGAGCGCGGCGCGUCCACAGCCGUUAAACACCCAACUUCUGAAAUGUUGACCUCGGAUCAGGUAGGAAUACCCGCUGAACUUAAGCAUAUCAAUAGCCGGAGGAA
rnacentral:rRNA from 1 species